rnacentral:rRNA from 1 species
AUGAGUAGGGCGGGACACGUGGUAUCCUGUCUGAAUAUGGGGGGACCAUCCUCCAAGGCUAAAUACUCCUGACUGACCGAUAGUGAACCAGUACCGUGAGGGAAAGGCGAAAAGAACCCCGGCGAGGGGAGUGAAAAAGAACCUGAAACCGUGUACGUACAAGCAGUGGGAGCACGCUUAGGCGUGUGACUGCGUACCUUUUGUAUAAUGGGUCAGCGACUUAUAUUCUGUAGCAAGGUUAACCGAAUAGGGGAGCCGAAGGGAAACCGAGUCUUAACUGGGCGUUAAGUUGCAGGGUAUAGACCCGAAACCCGGUGAUCUAGCCAUGGGCAGGUUGAAGGUUGGGUAACACUAACUGGAGGACCGAACCGACUAAUGUUGAAAAAUUAGCGGAUGACUUGUGGCUGGGGGUGAAAGGCCAAUCAAACCGGGAGAUAGCUGGUUCUCCCCGAAAGCUAUUUAGGUAGCGCCUCGUGAAUUCAUCUCCGGGGGUAGAGCACUGUUUCGGCAAGGGGGUCAUCCCGACUUACCAACCCGAUGCAAACUGCGAAUACCGGAGAAUGUUAUCACGGGAGACACACGGCGGGUGCUAACGUCCGUCGUGAAGAGGGAAACAACCCAGACCGCCAGCUAAGGUCCCAAAGUCAUGGUUAAGUGGGAAACGAUGUGGGAAGGCCCAGACAGCCAGGAUGUUGGCUUAGAAGCAGCCAUCAUUUAAAGAAAGCGUAAUAGCUCACUGGUCGAGUCGGCCUGCGCGGAAGAUGUAACGGGGCUAAACCAUG